rnacentral:lncRNA from 1 species
UAAUUGGAAGGCUUGUUGAAGCUUCUUGGACCUUUAUCUUGUUAAUGGGCUAUUAGGCAUCAUAAUUCUCUUCCCAAAUUGUCCAAGUCCAUAAUGUUGAAAGUCCACAUGUCAUAAUUGUCCAUGGGCUAUUUAUGGAGUCAAGAUUGGGGCAAAAUCCAUGCAUUCUAGCUUGUCUAACCUAUGCGAUUUUUUAUGGGAGGAGUAAUCUUUU